GACGUAGGGCGCGAGCGUUGUCCGGAUUUAUUGGGCGUAAAGAGCUCGUAGGCGGUCUGUCGCGUCUGCUGUGAAAUCCCGAGGCUCAACCUCGGGCUUGCAGUGGGUACGGGCAGGCUAGAGUGCGGUAGGGGGAGACUGGAAUUCCUGGUGUAGCGGUGAAAUGCGCAGAUAUCAGGAGGAACACCAAUUGCGAAGGCAGCUCGCUGGGACGUUACUGACGCUGAGACGCGAAAGCGUGGGGAGCAAACAGG
rnacentral:rRNA from 1 species